GAGACCGACUUGGGAUCGAUGGAGCCGAUAGCGAGGCUGGGAGCCAUAUGGUUCAGGACUUUAGCAAUGAAAACCUGCAGACAACCAGAAGGAAUCAGCCUACAACAGAUAACAGAAUUUUCUACAUUUCUGCAACCCCACAACAUCCCAGAGUUGAAGUUUUCUGUACUGAGGAAUGGGCUAAAAUUCCUCCAAGGUGAGAAACAGUAGGCGAGAAAUACCCGGAUGGCGUACUGCUUCUGGCGAGAUUUUGGAGUGUGCAACUGAUGCGAACACAAUUAUCCUGCAAAACAUAUUAUGAAACUCUAAGGAGGAAACAUUCGAUGGAUAAGCCUGAAAAAGCAGAGCUGAGAAACUCUGUUAAAACUGGCCAAAAACAAAGAAAGAAAGAAAGAACGUUAAGUUUGCUAGAGUCCAGGGGUCCUGCAGACAGACUUGGAAAGAGAACUGUGGGAGACAACAUGAUGUCCGAUGAAUAAGAUGGCGUUGUUGAUGGGAGGCAGGUAUGGGUUGUUAAACCACAAGCACAGAGAAGCCCACAACUGUCAGCUCUGUGCCAGGAACUACAGAAAAGGCUGGAUGCAGACCCACGUUAUGCUGGCACUCAUCACACUCGUAUGAUGGAAAGUGAGACAGAGUCGGAGAGGAGUUCAUUUACUGAACUCUGAUUGCACCUCCUGUUAUUGUUUUGGAUUUUUCAGCUGUUUUUUUUUUUGUCCUUUUAUAAGCAUUAUAUUUGUAUUUUAAUAGUAUUUAUAUAUCCAUAUUUUAUUGUUAAUUUGGAUAUUUUAUCGUUGUUGUUAUUUCACAUUUUAUUGUUGUUAUAUUUUGGACAUUCCAUGUUAUUCCUUUUAUUCUGUAUAUUUCAUCCUUUUAAUAAAGAUAUUUAAAGCCAAAUUAUUUUCUCAGAAUUUAUGUCGUGAGCAAUAUUGAUUGAAGGCCGGUAGCAAGGUGUAUAAGCUAAGGCUGUGGUUUUGGGUGGGCUGAAUUUUAAGUCAAGCCAAUACAUGUAGUGACCCAAUAUCUGUCAAGAUUUUGGGAUGGGCUUAAUUAAGAGUAAUCAGUAAAAUGAAAGCCAGUGCAUACAGUGGCCCAAUGGCUGUCAGGAUUUCAGGGUAGGUUAAGUUUAAGGGCAAACAAUCCAGUUUGAGAUGAAUGAACAUGAGGUGAGAAAUGUUAAUUAUCACUUGAGUGUAAAAAUGUCCCCUGACAGGAUCAUCUUCUAUGGCAACAAAUGGCCACGUCAGUCACUAUACACCCAAAAUGGUAUAUAAUUGGGUGUAUACGGAUGUGUGCAAUUUAACACUCCCAGCCAGUACAUUUCUGAAUACGUCUGAAAUUCAGUGGCUUAUACAGGAGUCUAUUAGUCCAAUUACAGCUCUUUUCAUGCAGUGUAAAUGCUGUU